UACGUAGGGUGCAAGCAUUAAUCGGAAUUAUUGGGCGUAAAGGGCGCGUAGGCGGAUUGAUAAGUCAGAUGUGAAAUACCAAAGCUCAACUUUGGUGCUGCAUUUGAAACUGUCUAUCUUGAGGAUUGACGGAGAAAGGGGAAUUCCACGUGUAGCGGUGAAAUGCGUAGAUACGUGGAGGAACACCGGUGGCGAAAGCGCCUUUCUAGUUUAGACCUGACGCUGAGGCGCGAGAGCUAGGGGAGCAAUCAGU
rnacentral:rRNA from 1 species